rnacentral:sRNA from 1 species
AAGGAAGAGAACAAAA